GAUGAACGCUGGCGGCGUGCCUAAUACAUGCAAGUCGAGCGAACAGACGAGGAGCUUGCUCCUCUGACGUUAGCGGCGGACGGGUGAGUAACACGUGGAUAACCUACCUAUAAGACUGGGAUAACUUCGGGAAACCGGAGCUAAUACCGGAUAAUAUAUUGAACCGCAUGGUUCAAUAGUGAAAGACGGUUUUGCUGUCACUUAUAGAUGGAUCCGCGCCGCAUUAGCUAGUUGGUAAGGUAACGGCUUACCAAGGCGACGAUGCGUAGCCGACCUGAGAGGGUGAUCGGCCACACUGGAACUGAGACACGGUCCAGACUCCUACGGGAGGCAGCAGUAGGGAAUCUUCCCCAAUGGGCGAAAGCCUGACGGAGCAACGCCGCGUGGGUGAUGAAGGUCUUCGGAUCGUAAAACUCUGCUAUUAGGGAAGAACAAAUGUGUAAGUAACUAUGCACGUCUUGACGGUACCUUAUCAGAAAGCCACGGCUAACUACGUG
rnacentral:rRNA from 1 species